rnacentral:pre_miRNA from 1 species
UGGGGGAUCCUGGGCUGUUUCUCCGGCGCCCUGUGCUCCCGGGCCUGCGCUGUUGAAUUCGCGCUCCCAGCCGCGCAGCCCCCU